GACGAACGCUGGCGGCGUGCUUAACACAUGCAAGUCGAACGGAAAGGCCCUGCUUUUGUGGGGUGCUCGAGUGGCGAACGGGUGAGUAACACGUGAGUAACCUGCCCCUGACUUUGGGAUAACUUCAGGAAACUGGGGCUAAUACCGGAUAGGAGCUCCUGCUGCAUGGUGGGGGUUGGAAAGUUUCGGCGGUUGGGGAUGGACUCGCGGCUUAUCAGCUUGUUGGUGGGGUAGUGGCUUACCAAGGCUUUGACGGGUAGCCGGCCUGAGAGGGUGACCGGCCACAUUGGGACUGAGAUACGGCCCAGACUCCUACGGGAGGCAGCAGUGGGGAAUAUUGCACAAUGGGCGGAAGCCUGAUGCAGCAAAGCCGCGUGCGGGAUGACGGCCUUCGGGUUGUAAACCGCUUUCGCCUGUGACGAAGCGUGAGUGACGGUAAUGGGUAAAGAAGCACCGGCUAACUACGUG
rnacentral:rRNA from 1 species